rnacentral:rRNA from 1 species
CGCGAAGAGCCUUACCAAAUCUUGACAUCCUUUGACCGCUCUAGAGAUAGAGCUUUCCCCUUCGGGGGACAAAGUGACAGGUGGUGCAUGGUUGUCGUCAGCUCGUGUCGUGAGAUGUUGGGUUAAGUCCCGCAACGAGCGCAACCCUUAAGCUUAGUUGCCAUCAUUAAGUUGGGCACUCUAAGUUGACUGCCGGUGACAAACCGGAGGAAGGUGGGGAUGACGUCAAAUCAUCAUGCCCCUUAUGAUUUGGGCUACACACGUGCUACAAUGGACAAUACAAAGGGCAGCUAAACCGCGAGGUCAAGCAAAUCCCAUAAAGUUGUUCUCAGUUCGGAUUGUAGUCUGCAACUCGACUACAUGAAGCUGGAAUCGCUAGUAAUCGUAGAUCAGCAUGCUACGGUGAAUACGUUCCCGGGUCUUGUACACACCGCCCGUCACACCACGAGAGUUUGUAACACCCGAAGCCGGUGGAGUAACCCUUUAGGAGCU